AGUGAACGCUGGCGGUAGGCCUAACACAUGCAAGUCGAACGGCAGCACAGUAAUAGCUUGCUCUUACGGUUGGCGAGUGGCGGACGGGUGAGGAAUACAUCGGAAUCUACUUUUUCGUGGGGUAUAACGUAGGGAAACUUACGCUAAUACCGCAUACGACCUACGGGUGAAAGCAGGGGAUCUUCGGACCUUGCGCGAUUGAAUGAGCCGAUGUCGGAUUAGCUAGUUGGCGGGGUAAAGGCCCACCAAGGCGACGAUCCGUAGCUGGUCUGAGAGGAUGAUCAGCCACACUGGAACUGAGACACGGUCCAGACUCCUACGGGAGGCAGCAGUGGGGAAUAUUGGACAAUGGGCGCAAGACUGAUCCAGCCAUACCGCGUGGGUGAAGAAGGCCUUCGGGUUGUAAAGCCCUUUUGUUGGGAAAGAAAAGCAGCAGGUUAAUACCACGCUGUUCUGACGGUACCCAAAGAAUAAGCACCGGCUAACUUCGUG
rnacentral:rRNA from 1 species